UACGGAGGGUGCAAGCGUUGCUCGGAAUUAUUGGGCGUAAAGCGCACGCAGGCGGCGAGGUAAGUCAGUUGUGAAAUUCCCGGGCUUAACUUGGGAACUGCAGCUGAUACUGCUUUGCUUGAGUACGGAAGAGGGGAGCGGAAUUCCCAGUGUAGAGGUGAAAUUCGUAGAUAUUGGGAGGAACACCGGUGGCGAAGGCGGGAUCCUGGGCCAGUACUGACGCUGAGGAGCGAAAGCGUGGGGAGCAAACAGG
rnacentral:rRNA from 1 species